UACAGAGGGUGCGAGCGUUAAUCGGAAUUACUGGGCGUAAAGCGUGCGUAGGCGGUUAUUUAAGUCGGAUGUGAAAGCCCCGGGCUCAACCUGGGAAUUGCAUUCGAGACUGAAUAGCUAGGGUGCGGUAGAGGGAAGCGGAAUUUCCGGUGUAGCGGUGAAAUGCGUAGAUAUCGGAAGGAACAUCAGUGGCGAAAGCGGCUUCCUGGACCAGCACCGACGUUCAGGCACGAAAGCGUGGGGAGCAAACAGG
rnacentral:rRNA from 1 species